rnacentral:rRNA from 1 species
GAUGAACGCUGGCGGCGUGCCUAAUACAUGCAAGUCGAGCGAACAGACGAGGAUCUCGCUCUUCUGACGUUAGCGGCGGACGGGUGAGUAAUACGUGGAUAACCUUGCUAUAAGACUUAGGUCAGUGCGAGAAACCGUAGCUAAGACCGGAUAAUAUAUUUAAUCUGAUGGUUGAAUAGUUUAAGACGUUUUUGCUGUCACUUAUAGCUGUAUGCUCGCCGCUUGAGUUAUGUGGUAAGGUAACGGCUUACCAAGGCAACGAUGCGUAGCCGAGCUGAGAGCGUGAUCGGCCACACUGGAACUGAGACACGGUCCAGACUCCGAGGGGAGGCAGAGGUACGGACUCUUGCGAGAUGGGCGAAAGAUUGAAGGAGCAACGCAGCGUGAAUGAUGAGGGUCUUCGGAUCGUAAAACUCUGUUAUUAGGGAAGACCCCAUGUGCAAGUAACGAUGCACGUCUUGACGGUACCUAAUCAGAAAGCAACGGCUAACUACGUG